rnacentral:rRNA from 1 species
GAAUGCUGACAUAAGUAACGAUAAAGCGGGUGAAAAGCCCGCUCGCCGGAAGACCAAGGGUUCCUGUCCAACGUUAAUCGGGGCAGGGUGAGUCGACCCCUAAGGCGAGGCCGAAAGGCGUAGUCGAUGGGAAACGGGUUAAUAUUCCCGUACUUGGUGUUACUGCGAAGGGGGGACGGAGAAGGCUAUGUUGGCCGGGCGACGGUUGUCCCGGUUUAAGCGUGUAGGUGUGUGUUCCAGGUAAAUCCGGUUCACUUUAACACUGAGGCGUGACGACGAGGCACUACGGUGCUGAAGCAACAAAUGCCCUGCUUCCAGGAAAAGCCUCUAAGCAUCAGGUAACAUCAAAUCGUACCCCAAACCGACACAGGUGGUCAGGUAGAGAAUACCAAGGCGCUUGAGAGAACUCGGGUGAAGGAACUAGGCAAAAUGGUGCCGUAACUUCGGGAGAAGGCACGCUGACACGUAGGUGAAGUGAUUUACUCAUGGA